UUAUUAUUUAUUAUUUUUUAUAUUUUUUAAAAUUUUAUAUAAUUUGAUUUGUUUUAUUAUAAUUUGUUUAAGUAUUUAUUUUGAAGGAAUUAUUAUUUAUUAUAGUUUAUUUGAGCUGUGAAGGUUUUAAUUUAAUAUUUUUAAAGUAGAAUUAUUUUGUACCUUUUGUAUCAGGGUGAAUUUAAUAUUUUUUAUUUAUAUAUUAUUCUCGAAUUAAUUUGAUCUAAUUUAUUAUGUUUGUUAAGGUUGUAUAUUUAUAUAUUAUAUUAAUUUAGUUGUGAUAUGUUAUUCGUAAAUUAAGUUAUCUAGUUUUCUAAUAAUUGAAUUUAAUUCAGUUAUUUUUAUUUAAUUAUUAUAUUAUAAUAUAAUUUAUUUAGGAAUGAUUAUAUUUUGGGGGAUUAGCUCCGAUUUAUUUUUAUAAUUUUAAUUUUAUGAUAUUAUGUAGGUUUUAUAUUAUCCUUCAUUAGUUAUUAUUUUAUAAUUUAUUAUUUAUAUUUUUAAAUUUAAUUUAAUUUAAUUAUUUAUUGGAAAUUAUUAGUUAAUUGUUGACUAUUUGUUAUAAUGGUUCAAUUAGUAUAUUAUAUUUAUUUGUUAUUUUUAAUUUAUAUUAUUAUAAGGAACUAGGCAAAAUUAUUUAUUCGCCUGUUUAUCAAAAACAUCUUCUCUUGUUAUUUAUUAGAGAUCUAACCUGCCCAAUGAUUAUAUUUUAAUGGCCGCGGUAUUUUGACCGUGCAAAGGUAGCAUAAUCAUUAGUUCAUUAAUUGUGGACUUGUAUGAAUGGUUGGACGUGAUAUUUACUGUCUCUUAAUUAUUAUUAUAAUUUAAAUUUUGAGUUAAAAUGCUUAAAUUUAUUUAUAGGACGAGAAGACCCUAUAGAUCUUUAUUUUUAUUUUUAUAAAUUUUUUUGGUUUAUUUUUUAUUUAUAUUUAUAAUUUUUUUGUUGGGGUGACAUUGAGAUAUAGUUAACUCUUUAUUUUUUAUUCAAAAAUAUUUGUAUAUAUGACCUUUUUAUAUUGUUAUUAGAUUUAGAUACCUUAGGGAUAACAGCGUAAUUUUUUUUUAGAGUUCAUAUCGACAUUUAAGAUUGCGACCUCGAUGUUGGAUUAAGGAAAUAGUUAGGUGUAGGUGCUUAAUGAUUAAGUCUGUUCGACUUUUAAAUUCUUACAUGAUCUGAGUUCAAACCGGUGUGAGCCAGGUUGGUUUCUAUCCUUAAUUUUAUAUAUUAUAUUAGUACGAAAGGACCAUAUAAUUUAAAUAUUUUAUAUUUUUGUUUAUUAUUA
rnacentral:rRNA from 1 species